GAUCCCGCAUUACGGUAAUAGAAUCCUGCAUUUUAAAACCAUGAGCGAUGGAUUUCAGUAAAGGGAAGAGAAGGAAUGUCAUAAGUCGGCGGCAUAUGCUUCCUGAGGCAAUGCAUGUGUAAUGCAAGUCAGUCGAAUCGCAAGCAUUACGCAGCAACUCUCGAACGAAAUGCUUCUAAUGGAUUGACCAACUGACUUGCGUUUUUCGUUUGAAACCUCCUGCGAGUCAUUUGAAAUCCCAUGUAAAAGCUGAUGAGUUUAAAGCGCUCGGCUCCAGGUCCUUUGAUAUCAAAGCUGCUGAUUGGCCACAAAUGCAAGAUCAGAGUUCGAACGUCGACGAGAUCGGCAUGUGGAUCAACCGUGGGUGUCCUGUGCGGUCAGCUCGUUAACCGGUAAUUCGCCGGCACUAUAUUCGCAGAGUAAUCGCUUAAGAUGUCACUAAGUACAGCGAUUUUUCUUACGUUCGUACUCGCGGCUAGAGAUAUGUCCGUAGCAGAUAAGCGGAAAGAUACCGGAAAGAAGAAUUAAAAGAAGAUCAGCGUUCCGAGAGUAUGCGAAUUUUUCAACAUCAAACAUUCAGAAGGAACGGGAGACGGGGGAACUAGGGCAACCAGUUUAAAAGCCCAGGAUACUUUAACACCCGGGAGUACUACUCAGUCUCGUCUCUGAAAAAUCUUUUUAUUCUAACCGUACAUUUGUAUGUACUCAUACAUAUGUACGGGCGCGGUGCAGCAGUACAGUCGCACUUUAUUGAGCGAAUUUCAUUCUCGUUUAUAGUUACGACCAUCACACGAAAGGUAUAAGGAAGAAGUAUACCGUAGUCAUAGAAAUCUAUAGAGCACAUAUAAUUUACUAUUUUCGAUUACAGAAACUAAAGUAGAUGUCGAGAGACGGAGAGCAAUCUACAAAUGUUUUUGCCAUA
rnacentral:lncRNA from 1 species